rfam:Jatropha curcas cultivar GZQX0401 scaffold609_5, whole genome shotgun sequence.
AAACUAUGAUGUGGGCACUUUCUCAACAAGUCCUUGAAUCUUUCCCAAGCUUCGUACAAGCUUUCUUGAUUAUGGUGAGCAAAUGUCAUUAUCUCAUUGCGAAGUUU